UGGCUGAAACAAAGGGAUGCAACAACGUAAGUUGAAGCGGAUCUCACAAAAACAGUCCCAGUUCGGAUUGGUGGGCUGCAACCCGCCCACAUGAAGUCGGAGUUGCUAGUAAUCGCGGAUCAGCAUGCCGCGGUGAAUACGUUCCCGGGCCUU
rnacentral:rRNA from 1 species